AGUCCUAGUCCCAGAAGCUCAGGAGCAGAGGGACAGCCACCUGCCAGGGGAGUGCCGAAUUGGACACACAGAGACCGGAAAGGGCCUGGGGGAGGGACGUGGCACAAGGGAAGCCCGGGGAGAACCGCCCGCCGCAGAGGAAAGCGGGCUGGCAGGCGAGGGAGCCCGCGUCGGCUGAGAGCCCACAGGCCCCCACAGGGACACCUGGUCGCCAUCACAUGGACACGCUAUUUUUGCACUCGAGGCUAUUCCAGGAAGUCCAUCCAGACAGAGCACGCCUUCCCCAGCCUCCUCUUAUUGGCCUGCAGCCCUGCUCUCCCCACGUCUGGUGAUCUGUAAAGAGGGCUUGUUCUGCGUGGGUGGGACCUGCUCUAGAUCCAUCUUGGAAAAUGAGCUCAUGCCGUUGGUGUAACCACCAUUCCUGCCCCCAUGCCACUCUGCCCCGGGGCCUGCUGGCUGACGUCCAUGGUGCAGUCGUGAUGUCCACGAGCCUGUCUGUGCCCUCGCUGCGGCCGACUCUCUCUAGGAGCGUCCCCACAGGAUGCAGAACCUCCCUUUGAGCUCGGUGUUCCCUGCUCCUCA
rnacentral:sRNA from 1 species